rnacentral:rRNA from 1 species
CGUUGCUCGGAAUUACUGGGCGUAAAGCGCACGUAGGCGGCUUCUUAAGUCGGUGGUGAAAUCCUGGAGCUCAACUCCAGAACUGCCUUCGAUACUGGGAAGCUCGAGUCCGGGAGAGGUGAGUGGAACUGCGAGUGUAGAGGUGAAAUUCGUAGAUAUUCGCAAGAACCCCAGUGGCGAAGGCGGCUCACUGGCCCGGUACUGACGCUGAGGUGCGAAAGCGUGGGGAGCAAACAGG